rnacentral:rRNA from 1 species
UGCGAGUUGGGAAGUCUGCCCUUUUCCUACCUUGGCAUUCCGAUUCAUCAUCGUAGGCUAACAAACAGAGAGUGGAAGUGUAUCGAGGAUCGAUUUGAAAAGAAACUGAGCUGCUGGAAGGGUAAGCUCAUGUCAUAUGGAGGCCGGUUAGUUUUGAUAAACUCGGUACUCACGAGUAUGCCUAUGUUCCUCUUAUCGUUCUUUGAGGUUCCAGUGGGAGUGAGGAAAAGACUGGACUUCUAUCGAUCACGCUUCUUUUGGCAGGGUGAUGAGCUUAAAAGAAAAUACCGGCUUGCUAAGUGGGAUAUCAUCUGUCGACCCAAAGACCAAGGCGGGCUUGGCAUUGAGAAUCUUGAGGUUAAGAACAGAUGA